rnacentral:rRNA from 1 species
GAUGAACGCUAGCUACAGGCUUAACACAUGCAAGUCGAGGGGAAACGACAUCGAAAGCUUGCUUUGAUGGGCGUCGACCGGCGCACGGGUGAGUAACGCGUAUCCAACCUGCCCACCACUUGGGGAUAACCUUGCGAAAGUAAGACUAAUACCCGAUGAUAUCCCUAGAAGACAUCUGAAAGGGAUUAAAGAUUUAUCGGUGAUGGAUGGGGAUGCGUCUGAUUAGCUUGUUGGCGGGGUAACGGCCCACCAAGGCAACGAUCAGUAGGGGUUCUGAGAGGAAGGUCCCCCACAUUGGAACUGAGACACGGUCCAAACUCCUACGGGAGGCAGCAGUGAGGAAUAUUGGUCAAUGGGCGCAAGCCUGAACCAGCCAAGUAGCGUGAGGGAAGACUGCCCUACGGGUUGUAAACCUCUUUUGUUUGGGAAUAAAGUGCGGGACGUGUCCCGCAUUGCAUGUACCAUUUGAAUAAGGACCGGCUAAUUCCGUG